rnacentral:rRNA from 1 species
GUCUUUUUGAGUUAUUUUUAAAGUCUGACCUGCCCACUGAAUUUUAAAUGGCCGCAGUAUUCUAACUGUGCAAAGGUAGCAUAAUCAUUAGUCUUUUAAUUGAAGGCUGGUAUGAACGGUUGGACGAGGUAUAAGCUGUUUCAUAUAAAUUUAUAGUAGAAUUUUAUAUUUUAGUUAAAAAGCUAAAAUUUAAUUAAAAGACGAGAAGACCCUAUAAAUCUUUAUAUUUUUUAUAUUUUAAAUUUUUUUGAUUUAGUUUGUUUUUAUUAUAUAAAAUAUUUUGUUGGGGUGAUAUUAAAAUUUAAUAAACUUUUAAUUUUAAAGAAUCAUUAAUUUAUGAUUUAUUGAUCCAUUAGUAGUGAUUAUAAGAUUAAGUUACUUUAGGGAUAACAGCGUAAUUUUUUUGGAGAGUUCAUAUCGAUAAAAAAGUUUGCGACCUCGAUGUUGGAUUAAGAUAUAAUUUUAGGUGUAGCCGCUUAAAUGUUAAGUCUGUUCGACUUUUAAAUUCUU